rnacentral:rRNA from 1 species
CAGUCGCCGCGGUAAUACAGAGGGUGCAAGCGUUAAUCGGAAUUACUGGGCGUAAAGCGCGCGUAGGUGGUUUGUUAAGUUGGAUGUGAAAGCCCCGGGCUCAACCUGGGAACUGCAUCCAAAACUGGCAAGCUAGAGUACGGUAGAGGGUGGUGGAAUUUCCUGUGUAGCGGUGAAAUGCGUAGAUAUAGGAAGGAACACCAGUGGCGAAGGCGACCACCUGGACUGAUACUGACACUGAGGUGCGAAAGCGUGGGGAGCAAACAGGAUUAGAUACCCCUGUAGUCCCUGUCUCUUAUAA